GCGGCGAAUGCGCUUGGUCACGGACUUGGAAGCGGGUGCUGCUCGUGGAAGGAUCCGUGCUCGUUUCGCCUUUUCUCCGUUCCGGGAGCGCCGAGCCGGCCCGGACCGCCCCGCGACGGCGCCAUGAUCACCUCAGCCGCUGGAAUAAUUUCCCUUCUGGAUGAGGAAGAGCCAGAACUCAAGGAAUUUGCUCUCCACAAACUCAACGCAGUUGUCAAUGAUUUCUGGGCUGAGAUCUCUGAAUCGGUGGAUAAAAU